CGCUGGCGGCGUGCCUAACACAUGCAAGUCGAACGGGAAAAGAGAGCUUGCUUUCUUUUCUAGUGGCGGACGGGUGAGUAAUGCGUGAGCAACCUGCCUGUUAGAGGGGGAUAACGUUCGGAAACGAAUGCUAAUACCGCAUAUAGUACAUAAUUCGCAUGAAUAAGUGUAUGAAAGGAGCAAUCCGCUAACAGAUGGGCUCGCGUCCGAUUAGUUAGUUGGUGGGGUAAAGGCCUACCAAGACUUCGAUCGGUAGCCGGGCUGAGAGGCUGAACGGCCACAUUGGGACUGAGACACGGCCCAGACUCCUACGGGAGGCAGCAGUGGGGGAUAUUGCACAAUGGGGGGAACCCUGAUGCAGCAACGCCGCGUGAGGGAAGAAGGUUUUCGGAUUGUAAACCUCUGUCCUCAGUGAAGAACAAAAUGACGGUAACUGAGGAGGAAGCUCCGGCUAACUACGUGCCAGCAGCCGCGGUAAUACGUAGGGAGCGAGCGUUGUCCGGAUUUAUUGGGUGUAAAGGGUGCGUAGGCGGCUAAGUAAGUCAGGCGUGUAAUUUAGGGGCUUAACCUCUGGACUGCGCUUGAAACUGCAUAGCUUGAGUGGAGUAGAGGCAGAUGGAAUUUCCAGUGUAGCGGUGAAAUGCGUAGAUAUUGGAAGGAACACCGGUGGCGAAGGCGGUCUGCUGGGCUUUAACUGACGCUGAGGCACGAAAGCAUGGGGAGCAAACAGGAUUAGAUACCCUGGUAGUCCAUGCUGUAAACGAUGAUUACUAGGUGUGGGGGGUCUGACCCCUUCCGUGCCGGAGUUAACAGAAUAAGUAAUCCACCUGGGGAGUACGAUCGCAAGGUUGAAACUCAAAGGAAUUGACGGGGGCCCGCACAAGCAGUGGAGUAUGUGGUUUAAUUCGACGAUACGCGAAAAACCUUACCAGGUCUUGACAUCUAACUAACGAAGUAGAGAUACAUUAGGUGCCCUUCGGGGAAAGUUAAGACAGGUGGUGCAUGGUUGUCGUCAGCUCGUGUCGUGAGAUGUUGGGUUAAGUCCCGCAACGAGGCGCAACCCCUACGGUUAGUUGCUACGCAAGAGCACUCUGACAGGACUGCCGUUGACAAAACGGAGGAAGGUGGGGAUGACGUCAAAUCAUCAUGCCCUUUAUGACCUGGGCUACACACGUACUACAAUGGCCGCCAACAACGGGAUACAAUGGAGCAAUCCGGAGUCAAACCCCAAAAGCGGUCUCAGUUCAGAUUGCAGGCUGCAACUCGCCUGUAUGAAGAUGGAAUUGCUAGUAAUCGCGAAUCAGCAUGUCGCGGUGAAUACGUUCCCGGGCCUUGUUCACACCGCCCGUCACACCAUGGGAGCCGGUAAUACCCAAAGUUUGUUGUCUAACUCUCACGGGGGACGCUACCUAAGGUAGGAUUGG
rnacentral:rRNA from 1 species